rnacentral:tRNA from 1 species
UAGCUCAGUUGGUAGAGCAGCCGAUUUGUAAUCGGCAGGUCGCGGGUUCAAAUCCUGUCGCCAGCUCCA